rnacentral:rRNA from 1 species
UACAGAGGGUGCGAGCGUUAAUCGGAAUUACUGGGCGUAAAGCGCGCGUAGGCGGCUUUGCAAGUCGGGUGUGAAAUCCUCAGGCUUAACCUGGGAACUGCAUUCGAGACUGCAUUGCUAGAGUAUGGGAGAGGGAAGUGGAAUUUCCGGUGUAGCGGUGAAAUGCGUAGAUAUCGGAAGGAACAUCAGUGGCGAAAGCGACUUCCUGGACCAAUACUGACGCUCAUGUGCGAAAGCGUGGGGAGCAAACAGG